UAGCUGUGGUGCAAAGACCACAUUGCCAGAUCAGUCAACAAAUGGUUGUCAAUGGUAAACAGUCAUAUGUUUACAGUCAAUGGUAGUCAAGUAGUCCGAGUCAAAACAAAGCAAACAUGUAGUUAGAUUUAAUUGUGUAUAUUAAUCUUGAUUUGAGAGAUAUCGUUAUACUUUAAUAUCAGCUAUCUUAAGAAAUUUUACGAGCUGAGAAAUAAUAGAUACAUCCUUCGUUAGCAAGAUUUCCUUAAUUGUACGAAAAGUAUUAAAAAAGGCAAAAUCGCAUCUAAACGCAUUAUAUUUAGCGCAGAAGAAGACCGAGUGAUCAAGGCUUUCUUCAGUAUCACACAAAGGACAAAUAUUCGUUGGAAUUGAACCUAUCCGAUACAAAUAGAGACGACUUGUGAUACCACGGCUUUGAUGGUAGCUCUGGGAAGAUUUCCGCAAAGAAAGCUCCCUUGUGUUGCGAUAAUAGUUUGUAUUCCUGAU